rnacentral:rRNA from 1 species
CUUGCCCCAGAUGGCGAGUGGCGCACGGGUGAGUAACGCGUACGCAACCUGCCCCCGGCCGGGGGAAAGUCACGGGAAACUGUGAAUAAUCCCGUAUGGCAACACGAUCCCGCAUGGGUUUGUGUUCAAAGCUACGGCGGCCGGGGAUGGGCGUGCGUCCGAUUAGCUAGUUGGCGGGGUAACGGCCCACCAAGGCCACGAUCGGUAGGGGGCGUGAGAGCGUGGACCCCCACACGGGUACUGAGACACGGACCCG